rnacentral:rRNA from 1 species
AUGCGUCAUGAAACUACUGAGGGGUUCGAGUGGGCUUUCAAAACUUUCGUCGACACGAUGAAUGGAAAGCAUCCAGUCACAAUAUUGACUGAUCAGUGCAAGGUGAUGGAAGGAGCAAUAGAAAACAUAUUGCCAAAUACGAAGCAUAGGUGGUGUAAGUGGCAUGUAUUGAGGUGCGCAAAGGAGAAGCUUGGCCCUGUAUACAGCAAGAAGAGUGGAUUCAAACAUGAGUUCCACAAAAUUAUAAAUGAUAUUAUUUAUGUCACAGAAUUUGAGGGAAAGUGGGCUGAACUUAUAGAUAAGUACAAUCUGAAGGAUAAUCCUUAUCUUGAGAAUCUAUAUAGCAAGCGGACCAUGUGGGCUAAACCAUACUUCUCCAGUGUGUUCUGUGCUGGGAUGACAAGUACUCAACGCAGCGAGAGCGCAAACCACCUGCUGAAACAGUACAUACCUCGUUCAUCACCUAUGCACCUAUUUGUCAAGCAGUACAACAAGCUACUCCAAUCACGCACAUCGGAUGAGGGCAGGCAGCAACACAUGACAAAGAUGAAACGUCGAAGACUCAACGGAGGGUUCCCCUUGGAAGCUGAUGCAGCCAAGAUAUAUACUAAGGGUGUGUUCAUUAAAUUUGAAGAGGAGCUUUAUCAAGCUGCAUCGUUUAUUAUAUCUAAUUGCAUAAGCAAUAUGGAAUUUGAGGUCACACGUGCCCGACCGGAUUACUUGCCUGAAUACGAGAUGAGGAGGUACAAGGUUGCUAUCAGAGAUGGUGGUGAUUUCAUAGACUGA